rnacentral:piRNA from 1 species
UGAUUGGGAAUAACUCCAUAAUUAUGUGCACU